rnacentral:rRNA from 1 species
UACGUAGGGGCUAGCGUUAUCCGGAAUUACUGGGCGUAAAGGGUGCGUAGGUGGUUUCUUAAGUCAGAGGUGAAAGGCUACGGCUCAACCGUAGUAAGCCUUCGAAACUGGGAAACUUGAGUGCAGGAGAGGAGAGUGGAAUUCCUAGUGUAGCGGUGAAAUGCGUAGAUAUUAGGAGGAACACCAGUUGCGAAGGCGGCUUUCUGGACUGUAACUGACACUGAGGCUCGAAAGCGUGGGGAGCAAACAGGAUUAGAUACCCCCGUAGUCCCUGAGCGGGCUGG